rnacentral:rRNA from 1 species
AGCGAACGCGGAACAGCCCAAACCAGAAUUGUUACGGCAAUUCUGGGGUUGUAGGACUACAAUGUGGACUAUAGAAACGAAUUGGAAUGACUUGGGAAAGUCAGCCAUAGAAGGUGAGAGCCCAGUACAAGUAAGUUUCUAUUACCUAGUAGUAUCCUGAGUAGGGCGGGACCGGAGAAAUCCCGUCUGAAUCUACCGGCACCAUCCGGUAAGGCUAAAUACUCCUGAGAGACCGAUAGUGAACCAGU